rnacentral:lncRNA from 1 species
UUUGGUUACAAUUAAGCUUUAUAUUCAGCAAACUAUAUGACCAAAAAAUGAUAAUAUACAAUAAAUUUUCUGAUGCUCACAGGAGAUCCUAGCCCGGAUACUGGAGAAUGUUCACUCCCCCCUGCCCCUCUUCUCUCUACUUGACAAAUUCCAAGCUUCACUGAUCUAAAAGUAACAUCAUGAAUAUAUUAAUGUACACAUCGUUGGUUAAUUCAUAUGCUUAGUAGUCUUAUUUUACAGAGGGGCAAAUGGCAAUAUACUUAAAUAAAUGUUUUAUACACUCAAAACUGAAAGUAAAUACGCGUUAAAUACAUAGUAACAUUACAUUAAAAUAGAAUAUAUCUGCAACUGUAAUGCAAUAAUGAUUUGUAACAUUAAAAAUAUUUUCAUCGAAUGUUGGUGCUCUUUCCACUUCUUCUUCGACUACAAAUUUCUCCACUUAACGCAUGUACAGAUGAGUUAUACGUGCUGCACUUGAGAAUUAUCAGUUUACUGAAUAAGAAGAAGAAUAUAAUACUCAAAUUUUCACGAUAUCAGUACUUCAGGCUCACCGUCACGAACCAAAAACUAAUGAAACAGAAUCAGGAAAAUAAAUACGAAACAAUAAAAAUUGAGUAGACUGCAAUACAAAAACAGGGAGAGAGUACAAAAUCAGAGACGACAUAAGUUGGAAUCAAUAAAUGAUCUGAGAAGAGAGAAAAGGAAAGCGACAAACGGAUUCGUCGGCCAAAAAAUAAGACGCAGUUGACUCUAGCUCCUCCCACCCAUUACUAACCAUUCAAAAAGAGAUCCGAUCACAGAGACACUCAGAUACUGCAGAGACAAAUACGUAUACCAUAAAAGGAGGAAGAUAAACAAAAUUAAAGAGGCAUAAAUUAAUCAGACAUAAGACGAGCAAUAUAUGGAAAACUAAACUUUCUGAAUUGAGGAUAGAUUCAAGCAAACAAAUGGUUUACAAACGAUUAUGUUGAAAACGAUUCUGAGAUUCUGGGUGCAAAGAUCGAUGGAUUAAGAAAAGAUGUAUCGAAGAAGAAGGAUUCAGCGCAUUUUUGAAUUGAGUGUUCACACCAAGUUUGGAGGAAACAGAGAGAAGAAAACCCCAGAGAAGAAGAAGAAGCAAAAGAGAGCCUUUGAUGAAUAAAUUACAAAAAAGAUUACAACCCUGUACCGUCGAUUUAUUUAAUAAUUGUGAAAAGAGACAACUCUUGAACAAGAUGACGGUUCUGCAAUUCGUGAAAGCGGUGCCUUCGAGGAGCCAUGACUUGGUGAAUUGAAGACGACGAUUGAAUCGUUGACGACUUUUGAAUCGUUGACGUCAUGGACUUUAUCUUAAACAAAAUAUCAGCCAUUAGAUUAUACACUCCAAACAAAUUCCACCAUCGGAUGUCAAUUUUUUUUCCUAUAAAAAAAUGAUGACAUCAGCGGUUAGAAAAAACAGGUUUGCUAUUAUAUAUAGAU